GGAAGAGGUAAAGCACAAUUAACGGCACUAGCGGUCUUAUCUUACAGAAAUUGCAGCCUCUAUCGCCACCCCUUUUGUGGAAAGGGUCCUGCCUGUAAAAGCAUGAAAAUGCAUCCUCCUGGGUUGCUGUUUUUCUUCUUAGCAGCAUGCUUCACUCCUACAGCUGACUGCCAGAGUCAGAAGCUGUUUUCUUCCUCUUUCCUCCUGCCUGUUGCUGCUGAC
rnacentral:lncRNA from 1 species